CAGACGUCCCCGCUUUUGGUGGCCUGUCCCCGGCUGGAGCUACGCUAAAAACAGACUGCAAAGUGAAAUAAUAUUUUACGUGGCAAGAAAGACCAGACAGCAGAGUCUGUCGGUUGACGUCUCAAUCGCGUUAUGCUUAUUUUGUCCAGCAGAGGGGGCUGCUCACUAUAUCAUCUUCAUUCACUCUUCUUCUACUAACUACCUGCUCGCGCUAGUUUUAGAGAAAACUGAUGUGGAAAACUCAGCCAGAAGCUAGCAAGUGUCAAGUGAAUCGACAACAUCACCACAAACGUCUUUUCAAGCCAGGAGUUCAUGGAGAAGCUGGCCAAAGACAAAGCAAUCCUGAAGAAGAUACAUUCUGCUGAGAAAUAUUCAGAUUAGGUUGGUAUAAGUAUAUUAUGUAGUUACCAAUCUCAUUUUAUUUCUUUAUUUUGUUAAGUAUUUCACAUAUACUAUUGUCUGGGUUUUUUUCUUCAAUUUUGCUCAUGUUCUCUUCUGUUCUUAUUCUACCUAGACUACCAGGACCACAGAAUGGCUGUUCAGAUUGGACAGUUCUGUCUUGUCUGUAAUGUUUCUGUAAUAAAGUUGUUUUUUCUAUCACA